GAAUAUUGGACAAUGGGCGAAAGCCUGAUCCAGCAACGCCGCGUGGAGGAUGAAGGCCUUCGGGUUGUAAACUCCUGUCAGUAGGGACGAAGGUGUCAGGGCUAACAUCCCUGGCUCUUGACGGUACCUGCAGAGGAAGCCCCGGCUAACUCCGUGCCCGCAGCCGCGGUAAGACGGAGGGGGCAAGCGUUAUUCGGAAUUAUUGGGCGUAAAGGGCGCGUAGGCGGCCUCACAAGUCAGGGGUGAAAUCCCUCGGCUCAACCGAGGAACUGCCUCUGAAACUGUGGGGCUUGAGUCCGGGAGAGGGUGGUGGAAUUCCCAGUGUAGCGGUGAUAUGCGUAGAUACUGGGAGGAACACCGGUGGCGAAGGCGGCCACCUGGACCGGUACUGACGCUGAGGCGCGAAAGCGUGGGGAGCAAACA
rnacentral:rRNA from 1 species